AGUUCUGCCCGGUGGUGCUGAAGAAGCUUCUCGGAUGAGAGGUGAAACGUCUUAAAGCAACUCAAAGAAGUCCAGACGCUUUUUUUAUUUCUAAACAAUAUUGUCACAAACUUUUCUCCAGCUAACAUCCUGCCCUGACUUUUUAUGCUCACUUUUAUUACUCUGUGUUAAGCAAAGGGUAAAGGUCUUUGUAUGCUCCGAAUGGGAGGAGGCACUUUUGCUAAGAGGUUUGCUUGUACUUCCUGCUUCCUCUAAAGGCUUGUUUCCCGACUUCGCAGCCAAUAUUCAGACUGAUUUUUUUUCUCAAGAGGAUUUGUUUACGUUUUUCUUCUUCUCUGAGAGAUGCUCUUGAGAAGCAUCAGUGUUGUGCUGAUUGUCCUGUCAGUCCUGGAGCUCUGCAUCACCAUCAGCUCUUCCAUCCUGGGGAUCAAAUCUCUGAGGAGGAAGGACAAGGGAAAAAAUGAGAGCACUGAUGACUCAGAGUCGACCAAACCACUGCUGGAGGAAGUCACUGCACAGGCUGUAGCCUAAAUGUCUUUGUUCAGUUACCAGGAAUCAUGUUCCUGUGCCUUUAUGACCUACAACUAACUUGAUGUCUUGAUGAUUUAUACUAAUUAAGACUUUGUCUUCCUAAGUGCUUCUUGAAAGGAAGACAUUAUACCAAAUUGAAUCAAUUGAUAAUAUCGUUGUUGUGUUGAUUAAAAUUUAAGUUGAGAUAAGUGCCUUAAGUUUGUUGGUAAAAAUGUGUUUAUUCUUGAGAAAUAUGGGGUUAUUUUCUUUGCCAUUCUACAAUGUAUAGUGACAAUAUUAAAAAAGUUAGAAAAGAAUAUAAAUAAAAAAAAUACUGACAGUUAAAAGCAGAUAUUACACUUAUAUUGACAUAUUUUUGUAGGCUAUUUGUGAAAUGUCAGAAUAAAGAGAGAACUGUUAUGUAUUUUUUAUUGCUUUCAUUAAAGUCAGAAGUAUACAUAUACUUCCUUAGUAUUUGGUAGAAUUGCCCCGUUACUGUUUCACUUGGGCCAAAUGUUUCAGAUAUCCUUCCACCAGCUUUCUACAAUAGUUUGUGGGCAUCUUGGCCCAGUCCUCUUGACAGAACUGGUGUAACUGGGUCAGGCUUGCAGGUCUUCUUGCUCCUUUUAGUGCCUCACCUUUUAGUGCCACCCACAUGUUUUCUAUGAGAUUGAGAUCAGGCCUUUGUGAAAGCCACUCCAAUACCUUGACUUUGUUGUAUUUUAAGCCACUUUGUAAAUAAUUUGGAGGAAUGCUUGGGUCAUUGUCCAUUUGGAAGACCCAUUUGUGCCCAAGCUUCAACUUCCUGGCUGAUGCCUUCAGAUGCUGCUUCAAUAUGUCCACCUAAUUUUCUUUUCUCAUGAUGUUAUCUAUUUUGUGAAGUGCAUCAGUCCCUCCUGCAGUAAAAAGCCCCACAACAUGAUGCUGCCACCCCCAUACUUCACAGUUGGGAUGGUGUUCUGAGGCUUCAAAGCUUCCACCUUUUUCCUCCAAAUAUACAGUUUAUCAUUAUGGCCCAACAGUUCAGUUGUUUCGUCAGACCACACAACAUGUGUCCAGAAAUAGAGAUUUUUGUCCCCAUGUGCAGUUGUAAACUGUAGUCCAUCUUUUUUUUAUUGUGGUUUUGAAGUAAUGGCUUUCUCCUCUAGAGUACCCUGUCAGCUCAUGGUGCU